GUAGUACUUUCUCCGUCCGAAAAUAUUUGUCAUCAAAAUGGAUAAAAGCUGAUGUAUCUCGAACUAAAAUAGUUCGAGAUACAUCAGCUUUUAUCCAUUUUGAUGACAAGUAUUUUCGGACGGAGGGAGUACUAG
rfam:Triticum aestivum genome assembly, contig: Triticum_aestivum_CS42_TGACv1_scaffold_321072_4BL